AUUGAACGCUGGCGGCAGGCUUAACACAUGCAAGUCGAGCGGAGAUGAGGUGCUUGCACCUUAUCUUAGCGGCGGACGGGUGAGUAAUGCUUAGGAAUCUGCCUAUUAGUGGGGGACAACAUUCCGAAAGGAAUGCUAAUACCGCAUACGUCCUACGGGAGAAAGCAGGGGAUCUGCGGACCUUGCGCUCAUAGAUGAGCCUAAGUCGGAUUAGCUAGUUGGUGGGGUAAAGGCCUACCAAGGCGACGAUCUGUAGCGGGUCUGAGAGGAUGAUCCGCCACACUGGGACGGAGACACGGCCCAGACUCCUACGGGAGGCAGCAGUGGGGAAUAUUGGACAAUGGGCGGAAGCCUGAUCCAGCCAUGCCGCGUGUGUGAAGAAGGCCUUUUGGUUGUAAAGCACUUUAAGCGAGGAGGAGGCUACCUAGAUUAAUACUCUGGGAUAGUGGACGUUACUCGCAGAAUAAGCACCGGCUAACUCUGUGCCAGCCGCCGCAGUAACAC
rnacentral:rRNA from 1 species